rnacentral:rRNA from 1 species
UACGUAGGGUGCAAGCGUUGUCCGGAAUUACUGGGCGUAAAGAGCUCGUAGGCGGUUUGUCGCGUCGUCUGUGAAAACUCGAGGCUCAACCUCGAGCUUGCAGGCGAUACGGGCAGACUUGAGUACUGCAGGGGAGACUGGAAUUCCUGGUGUAGCGGUGAAAUGCGCAGAUAUCAGGAGGAACACCGGUGGCGAAGGCGGGUCUCUGGGCAGUAACUGACGCUGAGGAGCGAAAGCGUGGGGAGCGAACAGG